rnacentral:rRNA from 1 species
UACGUAGGGGGCUAGCGUUGUCCGGAAUCAUUGGGCGUAAAGAGCGUGUAGGCGGCCCGGUAAGUCCGCUGUGAAAGUCGGGGGCUCAACCCUCGAAUGCCGGUGGAUACUGUCGGGCUAGAGUGCGGAAGAGGCGAGUGGAAUUCCUGGUGUAGCGGUGAAAUGCGCAGAUAUCAGGAGGAACACCGAUUGCGAAGGCAGCUCGCUGGGACGUCACUGACGCUGAGGUGCGAAAGCGUGGGGAGCAAACAGG